AUAUAAAUCAUAAGGAUUGCCAGCAACAAAGUUACAGUCAUAAGUGGAAGGGGAUGGGUGAUGGGAACGAUGAGAAGAUUAAUAAUAGUGCAGACUUAGUAAAUAGUUUGACAUUGUUGAGGGAAUUAUUUGUUUAGCAGAGUGAUGGCCUUCGGGAAAAAACUGUUCUUGUGUCUAGUUGUUCUGGUGUGCAGUGCUCUAUAGCGUCAUUUUGAGGGUAGGAAUUGAAACAGUUUAUGUCCAGGAUAGGAUAGGAUAGGAUAGGAUAGGAUAGGAUAGGAUAGGAUAGGAUAGGAUAGAAUAGAAUAGAAUAGAAUAGAAUAGAAUAGAAUAUUUUAUUGGCCAAGCCUGAAGACCUUUUUAGAAUGGAAAAAAAAUGGGAUUCAGGAGCAUUUCAGGUUGGAUGAAAUGGAUGGACAGACGGACGGAACGCAAAAACUAAUGUCUGUAGAACCCCCUAUUUGUGUUCUUGAUUGACAGUGCUCUCCAACUUUUCAUAGUUCUGGAGAAGGUUGAGAAGACCCCGGAGCUUCAUCAACCAAUGAUGCUGGGUGGGCCUUUUGCCUCAAUUUAACCUGCCACAUUUCCCCGGCGGUACCCUGCGUUCCAGCCUCCCCUCCCUUCCCUUCCACUGACUGUCCAGCUAUCUCAGCCUCCGUCCAGUUGGCACCUUAACCCCUAUUUUCCUGCAGUUCAGCGUCAUCAUUGAGCCCCUGUUCGAAACCUUCAACGAGAUGGUCUCCACCACCAGCCUGCAAGAACUGAACCGGACAGCCUUCAUGUGGCUGGACAAACACUGCUCGCUCCCUGUCCUGAGGCCCAUGGUUCUGAACAGUCUCCGUCACCUAAGCACUACAACCUCCAUUCUUUCCGACCCGUCCCUCUUGCAAGAACAAGCCAGCCAGGCCUUGGGCAAACUCCACAAAACGCCUGGAGAAACGUAGCAGAAGACACGGUCAACCGCAGCGGACAUCCCUGCCUCAAUAGAGACUUCUCCAGAGUUUGGGACUUCUUCCAGAGGUGUAGGAACACCUCUUUCCUGGGAGUUCCUGGCCCACCCGCUGGCUGAGAAUACAAGGAUUCGCUUCCCCCCCACAAUGUGGAGGGCACCCAGCUGUAGAAGGAGACCUUGGAAGCUUCCUUGGGUUGUCUCCACCAUCAGGGACAAGAGGCAUCCAGGCGGGGAGGGCAGAGCGUCGAGGUUCUCCCAACGCUGCCUCUGGGUUUUGUUGGUCGAAUGUGAAAAUGCAACUCAGGGAAACUGGUUUCCAGCAAUAGACCCCCACUUCAGUUCAACCUCUCUGAAUAUAUAUAUAUGCAGUAGGAAUACGCCUUUUUCUCCAGCCUGACCUCAAGUCACAAGGGGGGGGCGGGGGCAGCGCCGUGGUUAGACUGCAGCGUUUGCGGCAAAACUCUGCCUGCAGCCUGGAGUUCGAUCCCGACGGAGCUCAAGGUUCGACUCGGCCUGCUGUCCUUCCGAGGUUGGUAAUAAUGAGGAGCCCGUUUGGUAAAAAUUGCCAGCCCAUGGCAAUGAGGUUUUGCAAUGGGCAAAUAACGCUCUACGUUGUAAGCCGCUGAGAAGGUGCUAUAAAGCGGUAUAUAAGCCCAGAUUGCUAUUGCUAUUGCUAUUGAAGAGAUAGAAUCAGGGGUGAAAUGCUCCCGGUUUGGAUCGGAUCACCCGAUCCGGUAGUGAUGGCAGCAGGUGGUUUGGAGAACCGGUAGCAAAAAUCCCUGCCACCCCCCACCCAUGCCCAGCUGAACUGCGCGAUCAUCAGAAGUUUUUGAUGUUUUUUUUUUCUUACUUUUAAAAGCAUUUUUUCUUUGGCCGAAAAAAAUGCUUUUAAAAGUAAAAAAAAAGAGCCUCUGAUGAUCGCACGGCUCAGCUGGGAUUGUCAGAGCCUUUUAAAAGCAUUUUUUCUACAACCUCUUUGGCCGAAGAAGUUAUUUAAAAAAUGCUUUUAAAAGGCUCUGACGAUCCCAGCUGCCUGAUCGCCGGAUCCUUUUAAAAGCAUUUUUUUACAACCUCUUCCGCCGAAGAAGUUGUAGAAAAACUGCUUUUUAAAAGUUUAUUUUUAAAAAAAUUGGCCACGCCCACCCAGUCACAUGACCCCACCACCACCAAGCCACACCCCCAGAACCGGUAGUAACAAAUUUUACAUUUCACCCCUGGCGUGCGCUUGCUUCACUCACGUGCAGGAGCGCGAUUCUGCACAUGUGCAGAAGACCCUGGAUGACGUCGGGGCGGGUGGGCAGAGCCUCCCGCCGGUUUUACUACCGGUUCUAUAGAACCGGACAGAACCAGGGGCAACCCACCGCUGAUCUGAGGCUACAAGACAUUGGGCAGAGCAAGCCACCUUGAGAAUGGGCAGGCAGGGGAGGUCUUGCAAUUUUGGGAAGAGCCUUGGUGAAAGGAUAGAGGGGGAGGGGGCUGCUUACCUAAAGGGAAAUUCCCCCUCCUUCUCCCCAAGACGAUUAAGUCUCGUGGUCUACAGCAGGGGUCUCCAACCUUGGUCCCUUUAAGACUUGUGGACUUCACAAAGUUGGCUGAGGAACUCUGGGAGUUGAAGUCCACAAGUCUUAAAGGGACCAAGGUUGGAGACCCCUGGUCUACAGAAUUCUUAGUCGAUCGACAGAUGGGGAGGGAGAUUUUUUUGUAUUGAACAAUUUUAUUCAAAAGAUUAGAAAAAGGACAAAAACUCAUUAUUAUACGCUCCCUCCCUAUUUUAACCGUGAUAUCUGUAAUAGCUAUCGAUUUUUCCCCACCUGUUGGACCAGGGGUCUCCAACCUUGCUCCCUUUAAGACUUGUGGACUUCAACUCCCAGAGUUCCUCAGCCAGCUUUGUUGGCUGAGGGACUCUGGGAGUUGAAGUCCACAAGUCUUAAAGGGACCAAGGUUGGAGACCCUUGUGUUAGACGAUAACGGUUCAUCGGGAUCUUGGCAGCAGAAGAGACUGUUAGCUCCUUGACUUCAACUCUUGACUCAACUUUUGACUCAAGCCCCCUCCGUCCCUUUUCCAUUAUAACCAAGGGUCUUUGGGGGUGGGGGCACUUGUCUCAGGCCAUCCUUAGCAGGCUGUCCAGUGGAGCCUGUUCCCACAGCUGUACUUUUGCACAUAACAAUGCAAUUUUCCCCCUUUCUUUGGGGAAGAAUAAUAAUUUGAAAGUGCAGGAGAAGAACAAAAAUGGACGGUCAGCUUAAGGACAUAAGACAACCAGCCAAGAUCUAAUCUCAUCCAGGGUCUUCUUCCUGCCUCAGCCAUGUCAGUGUCUCUCAGAAGUUCAUGAGGAGGACACUCGCAGAGGAAAUGCCCUCUCUUCAUAUCUCAGAAGUUCAUGAGGAGGACACUCGCAGAGGAAAUGCCCUCUCUUCAUAUCUCAGAAGUUCAUGAGGAGGACACUCGCAGAGGAAAUGCCCUCUCUUCAUAUCUCCUGUCUCACUUCUUCGUAUGUGUCUUGGACAGUGGCCUUCAAAGAAACGGUGGCCCGCUAUGGUAACCGGUUCUGAAUUUCCCACCGGGAUUGUCCAUCAGAAGUUCUUGAGUUCCAGUCUUGGCUUCCUCAAGCGAAGGAAGAUGUCCUCCCACUUCAACCGCUCCACACGAUACAUUCUACCAGCCUUGAGGGAGAACCGCAGUGGCCUUCCAUCCACAGAGUAGAACAAGAUGGGUCAAGAAAUCUUGAUAGCAAUGAGGGAUGCCGAUGACCCGGACUUCUGAACUUUUAAGGGGACAGAGAUUAUCUCCUGGGUAAGAGAAGCUGGUUGUCUCGAAGUACGACGAACAGCAGGCUCUGUUGUCCUUCAGAUCACAAUUGUUGAAAAGGGGUGUCUUGAAAGAAGGAAACUCCAGGCAUUGUGAUUUAAGCUCAAAAAUGGCUCCCAGCUGAACCAAAAUCCACUCCAUCUCCAGGCGCCAAUGGAGAGCAACGUUCUACUUGUAACUGGUUCAUCUGGGCAACUUUAAUGCUCUAGAACAGGGGUCUCCAACCUUGGCAACUUUUAAGACUUACGGACUUCAGCUCCCAGAAUUCCCCCAGCUAGCAUGGAAUCCUCCCCAGCCAGGAAUUCUGGGAGUUGAGGUCCACAAGUCUUAAAAGUUGCCAAGGGUUGGACACUUAAGCGUUAAAGCUCGAAGUCUGUCUUGGAUACCUAUUCAGGAGUACAGUUAAAUCAUGAAUAUUCUGGCUACUCAUUGGAACAAAGCAAAGCUGGCUGAGGAAUUCUGGGAGUUGAACUCCACAAGUCUUAAAAAUUGCCAAGGUUGGAGACCCCUGCUCUAGAACCAUCUUUCUUGAACUUGGCAGCUUUAAAAUGGAUGGACUUCAACUCCCAGAUUUCCCCAGCCAACCAUGCUGGUUGGGGAAUUCUGGGAGUCGAAGUCCACUAAGCAGCUGGAGAAUUCUAGGAGUUGAAGUCCGUCCAUGCUGGCUGGGGAAUUCUGGGAGUUGAAGUCCAUCUCUAGGGGAAACGCUGCCCUUCACCCAGAAAGCUGCAUCGCAUUGGCUCAACUUCACCUCUUCACUCUUCUACUACAAACUCCACAAUCUUUUUGAUCACCUGGAUGGAACAGAAGAGGAGUGAUAACUGGCCUGCUUUUGUAAAGAUAUUGCUAAUGCAGUUUCAGUAUUGUUCUGUGAGGGUUUGGGGCUGAUUUUAAUCUGAAGCAGGCAGCCAAAAAUAUAUAUAUAUAUAUAUAUAUGCAUUUCUUUUUAGCAAUGCAAUCGGGAUUUUUAGCCUCCGGGGAGAUAUUUUAACUGUAUUGUGUCUGAAAUGAUUGUCUGGGCAAUUUGUAUUCCAUUUGCAAGCAAAAAGAAAAGAAAAAAGAUGGAAGUUUGUGUAACGAAUAUGUGUUUUUUCUUCCUUGCAUUAUCAACAGAUUUUUUUUGUGGGGGGGGGGGGGGCUGCAGAGUUAAACCGCUGCCUUGUUAUCUAGAUUUAUCAUGCAUUGAAACUUCAAUUCUGUGGCAAUUGCUUGCAUUUCGAUCUUUCGAUAACGUCACUGCGUGUUUUUUUUUUAAUGAGACGGCAGAAAUAAAAUGCUAUUUUUGAGGACAAAGUGUGGCUUUCUUCCAACCUUUAAACAUGUAACUUUUUUUUCCAUCAGCUCCCCUGACUUAGAAUUCUAGACGAUGAGGUUCAGAAGCGUGCAACCUUUGAACCCAGCUGCAGAAACAUCUGGGACCAUCGUCCAUUUAAGCCCCCCCCCCCAUGGGAUGUCAGGGAGCAAAUGGGUGUCUUAGCUUUCACAUCUGAGCCAUUUCCCUUCCCCCGAUUUUU